rnacentral:misc_RNA from 1 species
AAGUCGUAACAAGGUUUCCGUAGGUGAACCUGCGGAAGGAUCAUUAACAUUUUCCAAAACCUUUAUCCAAUCAACCUCAACCAUAUGUGUAAAUUGUUAUCUUUUCUGUUGUAUAUGCUCUGGGAGUAGAUCUUGGUUUGUCACUUUUUGGAUGGAUCAUUAUAGUUUGAACAUAUGUAUCACUGUAUGUAAGAACUUUAGUGUUGAAAUCUGAACUGGAGAUACCAUAGCGUUCCUCAUAUAUGACAACUCAAUUUUUUUCUUUCAAACCACACCACAAAUUUAAACCAUAUUUUGAACAAUCAAACGGAAGUUGGAGAAAUACCUUCGACCGUGAUUUAUGAAAAUAAAUCGAAAUCUAUGUACAACUCUAAGCGAUGGAUGUCUCGGCUCUU